rnacentral:rRNA from 1 species
GUAAACGAUGUGUGUUAGACGUUGGAAAUUUAUUUUCAGUGUCGCAGGGAAACCGAUAAACACACCGCCUGGGGAGUACGACCGCAAGGUUAAAACUCAAAUGAAUUGACGGGGACCCGCACAAGUAGUGGAGCAUGUGGUUUAAUUCGAAGAUACGCGCAGAACCUUACCAACACUUGACAUGUUCGUCGCGACUCUAAGAGAUUAGAGUUUUCGGUUCGGCCGGACGAAACACAGGUGCUGCAUGGCUGUCGUCAGCUCGUGUCGUGAGAUGUUGGGUUAAGUCCCGCAACGAGCGCAACCCUCACUUUUAGUUGCCAUCAUUAAGUUGGGCACUCUGAAAGAACUGCCAGUGAUAAGCUGGAGGAAGGUGGGGAUGACGUCAAGUCCUCAUGGCCCUUACGUGUUGGGCUACACACGUGCUACAAUGGCAUCUACAACAGGAAGCAAAACGGCAACGUUAAGCAAAUCCCGAAAAGAUGCCUCAGUUCGGAUUGCACUCUGCAACUCGAGUGCAUGAAGCUGGAAUUACUAGUAAUCGUGGAUCAGCGUGCCACGGUGAAUGCGUUCCCGGGUCUU